CCCUUAGAUGUUCUGGGCUGCACGCGCGCUACACUGAUGCGCUCAACGAGUUUAUGACCUUGCCCGGAAGGGUUGGGUAAUCUUUUCAAAACGCAUCGUGAUGGGGAUAGAUUAUUGCAAUUAUUAAUCUUCAACGAGGAAUUCCUAGUAAGCGCGAGUCAUCAGCUCGUGCUGAUUACGUCCCUGCCCUUUGUACACACCGCCCGUCACUCCUACCGAUUGAGUGAUCCGGUGAAUAAUUCGGACUGCGGCAAUGUUCAGCUCCUGAAUGUUGCUGCGGAAAGUUUAGUGAACCUUAUCACUUAGAGGAAGGAGAAGUCGUAACA
rnacentral:rRNA from 1 species